rnacentral:rRNA from 1 species
GCAGUGGGGAAUAUUGCACAAUGGGCGAAAGCCUGAUGCAGCAACGCCGCGUGAGGGACGACGGCCUUCGGGUUGUAAACCUCUUUUAGUUGGGAAGAAGGGAGCUUGCUCUUGACGGUACCAGCAGAAAAAGCACCGGCUAACUACGUGCCAGCAGCCGCGGUAAUACGUAGGGUGCAAGCGUUGUCCGGAAUUAUUGGGCGUAAAGAGCUCGUAGGCGGUUUGUCGCGUCUGCUGUGAAAUCUGGGGGCUCAACCCCCAGCCUGCAGUGGGUACGGGCAGACUAGAGUGCGGUAGGGGAGAUUGGAAUUCCUGGUGUAGCGGUGGAAUGCGCAGAUAUCAGGAGGAACACCGAUGGCGAAGGCAGAUCUCUGGGCCGUAACUGACGCUGAGGAGCGAAAGCAUGGGGAGCGAACAGGAUUAGA